GGUGCAGAACGCGCUCGGGUAGGAGCUGGGAUCGGGAUCUGGGAUUGGGAACCAAGAGCCAGGAGCUGGGAUUGGGAGCCAAGAGCUGGGAUUGGGAUCUGGGAUCAGGACUGGGAGCUGGGAUCGGGAGCCAAGAGCUGGGAUCGGGAUCUGGGAUUGGGAUCCGGGAGCUGGGAUCAGGAGUGGGAGCUGGGAUUGGGAACCAAGAGCCGGGAGCUGGGAUUGGGAUGUGGGAGCUGGGAUUGGGAUUGGGGUCUGGGAUUGGGAUCCAGGAUCGGAAUUGGGAGCCAAGAUCCGGGAGCUGGGAUCAGGGUCCUGGAGCCAGGAUCUGGAAGUUGGAAUCUGGGAUUGGGAUCCAGGAGCCAGGAUUGGGAUCUGGGAUUAGGAUGUGGCAUCAGGAUCCAGGAUUGAGAUCAGGGAACUGGGAUUUGGGUUCCAGGAGCCAGAAUUGGGAUCUGGGAUCAGGAUCUGGAUCUGAGAUCCAGGAUCAGGAUCCAAGAGCCGGGAUUGGGAUCUGGAACUGGGAUUUGGGAUCCAGGAGCCAGAAUUGGGAUCUGGGAUCAGGAUCAGGAUCCAGGAUUGGGAUCUGGGAUCCGGGAUUGGAAUCUGGGAUUGGGAUUUGGGAUGUGCUGGAGCCAGGCCGCGCUGUGAUCCUGCUGGGUCCCAGCCGGGUCUAA
rnacentral:lncRNA from 1 species